UGGUGUUCUCAAACCCGGUAUGGUGGUC
rnacentral:piRNA from 2 species